rnacentral:rRNA from 1 species
UUCGCCCUUAGAGUUUGAUCCUGGCUCAGGACGAACGCUGGCGGCGUGCUUAACACAUGCAAGUCGAGCGGGGAUCAUGGAAGUGCUUGCACAGAAAUGAUUCUAGCGGCGGACGGGUGAGUAACGCGUGAGCAAUCUGUCCUACACAGGGGGAUAACACUUGGAAACAGGUGCUAAUACCGCAUAAGACCACACUGUCGCAUGGCAGAGGGGUAAAAGAAUUAUCGGUGUAGGGUGAGCUCGCGUCUGAUUAGCUAGUUGGUGAGGUAACGGCCCACCAAGGCGACGAUCAGUAGCCGACCUGAGAGGGUGAUCGGCCACAUUGGAACUGAGACACGGUCCAGACUCCUACGGGAGGCAGCAGUGGGGAAUAUUGGGCAAUGGGCGCAAGCCUGACCCAGCAACGCCGCGUGAAGGAAGAAGGUUUUCGGAUUGUAAACUUCUGUCCUCAAGGACGAAGAAAGUGACGGUACUUGAGGAGGAAGCCCCGGCUAACUACGUGCCAGCAGCCGCGGUAAUACGUAGGGGGCAAGCGUUGUCCGGAAUGACUGGGCGUAAAGGGCGUGUAGGCGGAGAGGCAAGUCAGACGUGAAAACUAUGGGCUCAACCCAUAACUUGCGUUUGAAACUGUUUCCCUUGAGUGUCGGAGAGGUAAAUGGAAUUCCCAGUGUAGCGGUGAAAUGCGUAGAUAUUGGGAGGAACACCGGUGGCGAAGGCGGUUUACUGGACGACAACUGACGCUGAGACACGAAAGUGUGGGGAGCAAACAGGAUUAGAUACCCUGGUAGUCCACACCGUAAACGAUGAAUGCUAGGUGUGGGGGCGCAAGCCUCCGUGCCGCAGCUAACGCAAUAAGCAUUCCACGUGGGGAGUACGGCCGCAAGGUUGAAACUCAAAGGAAUUGACGGGAGCCCGCACAAGCAGUGGAGUAUGUGGUUUAAUUCGACGCAACGCGAAGAACCUUACCAGGUCUUGACAUCUCGAGAAGUCGGCGUAAUGGCUGAUGUGCCCUUCGGGGAAUUCGGUGACAGGUGGUGCAUGGUUGUCGUCAGCUCGUGUCGUGAGAUGUUGGGUUAAGUCCCGCAACGAGCGCAACCCUUACGGUUAGUUGGUACGCAAGAGCACUCUAGCCGGACUGCCGUUGACAAAACGGAGGAAGGCGGGGAUGACGUCAAAUCAUCAUGCCCCUUAUGAUCUGGGCUACACACGUACUACAAUGGCGAAUACAAAGGGAAGCGAUACCGCGAGGUGGAGCAAAUCCCAUAAAAAUCGCCCCAGUUCAGAUUGCAGGCUGCAACCCGCCUGCAUGAAGUUGGAAUUGCUAGUAAUCGCGGAUCAGCAUGCCGCGGUGAAUACGUUCCCGGGCUUUGCACACACCGCCCGUCA